GCGGCGGUACCGAAGCGGUUAAACGGGCUGGCUUCAGGAGCCAGUUGCUUAGUGCAUGCGCAGGUUCGAAUCCUGCCCGCCGCA
rnacentral:tRNA from 1 species